GGGAGUAAAGAUGUUCUUUCUGUCUAUAUCUGGUUCUAUUAUUGGCAAAUUUGUGCCUUCGAGAUUGCUGCGAGUGUUUGUGUUCUCGAGCUGAAAAUUUAGAUUAUUACCAUGUUUGGUCUCCUGAAUAUAAAUCAUGAUUCUUUGCAUCUCAAUUGCAGACCAGCAGACCUUUCCGUCCUCAUAUUCCCCGGAUUCGUUUUCUGCGAUCGAGCGCCCGAGUGGUUGCAUCUCGACGGCAGUUCCCUUUACAACCGAGUUAGCUUUAUACUAUGAGCAGUGAGCAAGUCAUGUAUAAAGCAAAAACAAAAUAUUGGUCUGCUAUCAAAUGGUACAUUUAUUUGAACUCUAAGGGCAGGUUCAGGGUCUCAUGAAGAGGGCAUGUGUUUGUAUUAGAUCAGAAGGUUUUGCAGUUGACAAGCUUACAGAUUUGAGCACCCCGAACAACGGGGUGGACCCUUUGACCUGUGGGUUCUGCUGGUACCAAGAGAAGGAGGUUCCUUUUAACCUGCAGGAGCUCUACCAAUGGCAGCGUGCUUUCCUUGACAAUGACGUGGUACUGCACAUAUGCAAGAUGCAGCGAGUGAAAUCGGCGCAAGAGGGCAUCUUGCAAGCAGCACCAAAUCCUAUAUUAUGGGACCGAGUGAGUAUCUCAAAGAAGAAAUAAUUUUUUUGAUGUAGGAAUAUCUGUAGGCUGAUUAUGCUUUGAUGUAU